GACGAACGCUGGCGGCGUGCUUAACACAUGCAAGUCGAACGGAAAGGCCCUGCUUUUGUGGGGUGCUCGAGUGGCGAACGGGUGAGUAACACGUGAGUAACCUGCCCUUGACUUUGGGAUAACUUCAGGAAACUGGGGCUAAUACCGGAUAGGAGCUCCUGCUGCAUGGUGGGGGUUGGAAAGUUUCGGCGGUUGGGGAUGGACUCGCGGCUUAUCAGCUUGUUGGUGGGGUAGUGGCUUACCAAGGCUUUGACGGGUAGCCGGCCUGAGAGGGUGACCGGCGACAUUGGGACUGAGAUACGGCCCAGACUCCUACGGGAGGCAGCAGCGGGGAAUAUUGCACAAUGGGCGGAAGCCUGAUGCAGCAACGCCGCGUGCGGGAUGACGGCCUUCGGGUUGUAAACCGCUUUCGCCUGUGACGAAGCGUGAGUGACGGUAAUGGGUAAAGAAGCACCGGCUAACUACGUA
rnacentral:rRNA from 1 species